UACAGAGGGUGCGAGCGUUAAUCGGAAUUACUGGGCGUAAUGGGCGCGUAGGCGGUUAUAUAAGUUAGAUGUGAAAUCCCUGGGCUUAACCUAGGAACUGCAUCUAAUACUGUAUGACUGGAGUGCAGUAGAGGAUAGUGGAAUUUCCGGUGUAGCGGUGAAAUGCGUAGAUAUUGCUCGGAAGGCCAACGGCGAAGGCAGGUUACUGGUGCGCAACUGACACUGAGGCACGAAAGCGUGGGGAGCAAACAGG
rnacentral:rRNA from 1 species